rnacentral:rRNA from 1 species
UACGUAGGGUGCGAGCGUUGUCCGGAAUUAUUGGGCGUAAAGAGCUCGUAGGCGGUUUGUUGCGUCUAUCGUGAAAACCUGCAGCUUAACUGUGGGCUUGCGGUGGAUACGGGCAGACUUGAGUUCGGUAGGGGAGACUGGAACUCCUGGUGUAGCGGUGAAAUGCGCAGAUAUCAGGAGGAACACCGGUGGCGAAGGCGGGUCUCUGGGCCGAAACUGACGCUGAGGAGCGAAAGCGUGGGUAGCAAACAGG